UGUACUCCUCUGCCAGCGAAGUGCAUGCUAAUUAUGCGAUUUGCCCUUGAUAAGACCUUGGUGGGUCAUUCAGCAGUUGUGAUCUGUCACUGACUUCUAAUCAUGUAUUAUCGUCUGGGGAACCAGAGGUGGAACAUCACUGUCAAAAUACAGCAGCUCUAAUAUGAGAGGAAAUCUUUCAAUUACCGAAUGAAGAGGUAAACAGCUGUCACAUCUGGAGCCCAAGCAAACAUCAUAACCUACAUCCCGUCCCCGUGAGCAAAAGCCACACAAGAACUUCCUAUGGCAAAGCAGGCAAUGGGAGCUAAGCAAUUGUUUUCAUUUUAUUUUUGACAAGUUCUUAAAAUUUUUGCAGCUCCAAAUGCUCAAGCCCAUCUUUUAAGCGGAGAGGAAGAUGAUAAUUACUGCUCUGGACCUCUGGCUGUUUGAGGUUGCCUUUUGCGAUUAGAGCAAAUAGUUGUAAACUAAUCAGCCACGGCGACACGUGUUUGCUCAGUUUCAAGUGGUUCACUCUACCAAACACAUUUGUAAGUAACCAACACACCUAGGUACAGCUUAUUGAGCAAAAAGUGAGCUUUCACACACCUGCCACAGUACUCAGAGCCUGCAUUACAGCAUUCAUUUUUGUUUUGUUGCUGUUAUAAGCAAGCUGAAAGAAGAAUACACUCGUUGGGGCAGGUUCUCCUUUUAGUUAUACAUGCACAUUUCACUCAAUGUAAGCCAGGGCACGGCAACAGGUUCACAGGAGUCCUUUUGUCACUUGGACUCCUGAAGAGCACUGAAAUCCACUUUGGUUUACACAAGUUUAAGUGAAAGCAAAAUUGUGCCUUUAAAUG